UUCAAUACAACUUUUAUGGGUCAAGAAAUUUUCCACGGAAUGACAAGAAAUUCAUGCUUGAUGGAUCUUCUUGGACGAGCAGGGCACCUGGAGGAGGCGGACGCACUUAUCAUGAACAUGGAAGUCGCUCCCAUCAGUGAUAAAUGGGCUGCACUCCAGUCUGCUGGCUAACUACAUGAUCAGAAUGUGGAGCUAGCUGAGAUUCAGUGGAAAAUCUUUUUGGUAUGAAUUUAAAACGGUUGGGUAGCUAAUUUGGCCUAUCCACCAUGCAUGCCGCUGAGAAAAGAUGGGGCGAUGCAGAAAGGGUGAGGGCAAAGGCAAGAGAGAAGGGACUUGUAAGACCACCAGGCUGCAGUUUUUGUUGAGUAAGAGAAGAGAAUUUACUGGGUUCUCAGAUGGCAUAAAUUAAAUUAAUGGAGAGGAGACAGGCGUGCUAAGCAAGACGACUUCACAGCAGCUAAGAAGGCAGGAUUCAAGCCCAAGACAAGUUCAGUGUCAUAAAAUGUUGAAGAAGUAAAGAUGAAGAUGCUUUUGAGAGCAUUAUAAGAAAUUGGCCUGUUCAUUUGCUCUCAAUGCACACGUCCAGGGACCAUUACAAGAAUCACUAGAAACCUUCGGGCAGAAUGUCUGCAGGCUCCACCGCUUUGAAGAUGGAUUUUGUUAGUGCAGUAUUUAUUGGUGAGUAAACUUGGAUAAUGUGAGCCAUAUAUAGAUAAUGUGUAUUAUUUAUUCAAACAGCAGAUACAUUGAAAGCUCA